GGAGGGGUGGCUGAGUGGUCGAAAGCACCGGUCUUGAAAACCGGCGACGGCUAAUACCCGUCCAAGAGUUCGAAUCUCUUCUCCUCCGCCA
rnacentral:tRNA from 1 species